UACAUGGGGUGCAAACGUUGCUCGGAAUUAUUGGGCGUAAAGCGCACGUAGGCGGUUCGUUAAGUCAGAUGUGAAAGCCCUCGGCUCAACCGAGGAAGUGCAUCUGAAACUGGCGAGCUAGAGUACUAAAGAGGGUCGCGGAAUUCCCGGUGUAGAGGUGAAAUUCGUAGAUAUCGGGAGGAACACCGGUGGCGAAGGCGGCGACUGGUG
rnacentral:rRNA from 1 species